rnacentral:lncRNA from 1 species
UAAAGCGUGGCAUCGCAGACGGCGUGGACAAAAUUCAACAACUAUUAGGACCAUAGGCCGAAUAGUUAAUAUUCACCCAAAUGCUGGCGAACUCUACUACCUUAGAAUACUGGUCAACGUUGUAAUAGGUCCAACAAGCUACGAAGACAUACUUACAGUGGGUGGUGAGAAAAGGAAAAGUUUUAAAGAAGCAUGUAGAGCUAGAGGUAUACUAGACAACGAUUUGGAGUGGCAUAAAGUGUUGGAUGAGUCAACUCAAUGGGCAACUCCACAUCAGUUACGUCAUCUAUUUGUCUUUUUGCUAAUCUACUGUGAGGUUGCUAACCCAUUAGGUUUAUGGGAACAUUGUUGGAAAUCAUUAUCUGAAGACGUCCUUCGCAAGCGCCGUCGUGAAUUUGGAUUUCAGAAGCUUACUUUAGAUGAAGAUGAGUUGCAGCAGUAUACUUUGAUUGAAGUUGAACAACUUCUGCAUCAACACGAUCGCUCACUCACAGACUUCAAAGAAAUGCCAAAGCCUGAUAAAAAGAUUCUCAAAGAACUAGGUAACAGCUUGUUGAAACAAGAAUUGUUGUACAACAGGAAAAAAGAAAAGGAAGAGCAUGAAAAACACUACCACCUUCUUAACAGUGAGCAGAGAAGAGUUUACGAUGCAGUUCUUGAUUCAGUAGUUAACAACCUGGGAAAAUUAUUCUUUCUUAACGGACCUGGUGGAACAGGGAAAACUUUUGUCUAUAAGACAUUAAUUGCAAAGUUUAGAUCAUCCAAGCAAGUGGUAUUACCUGUAGCGUCUUCAGGCAUCGCGGCAUUGCUAUUACCAGGUGGUAGGACAGCACAUUCAAGAUUUAAAAUACCACUAAAUCUCACAGAAGAUUCUAUGUGUGAUGUAAAGCCGAAUACAAUGCUCGCUGAAUUGCUUCUCAAAAUAGAUUUAAUCAUAUGGGAUGAAGCCCCAAUGUCACAUCGCCACACAUUCGAGGCACUCGAUAGGACAUUAAGAGAUUUAAUGUCUACGGAAGAUUCUUCAGCAAGUGGAAAAAUGUUUGGUGGAAAAACUGUGCUUCUAGGUGGAGAUUUCCAUCAGAUCCUACCCGUUAUAACACAUGGGUCACGAGCGGAUACAAUUCUUACAUCUAUAAGCAAAUCAUACAUAUGGGACGCAUGUAACGUAUACCACUUACAAAGAAACAUGAGGCUCCAACAGUCAGAAACAAGUUUCGCUACAUGGUUGCUAAGUAUAGGCGACGGUACUGCCCCAGAAUGCAAGACUAAAAGGGAAAUGAGAAUGACGAAGGCCAGCUUGUGGUCAUUGAUAACCGCUUCCUUCUGCAACCUACUGGAGAUCCCCUACAACAAAUUUGUCAAGCAACAAAAACACUAAAUAAGGAAUCCCAAACCAGAGCAGAAAGCCUAACUGAAAGAGCGAUUCUAACUCCACGGAACGAAACCGUAGAUGACAUUAAUGCAUACAUGUUAUCCCAAGUUCAAGGAGAGUUAAAGGAAUAUUUAAGCUACGACAGCAUCGCAAAGGCAGAUACAAUUGGAGCUGAUUAUGAAGCAUUAUACCCUAUGGAGUAUUUAAACUCACUAGAGUAUCCAGGCAUGCCGAAACAUAAGUUAAGUUUGAAACUUGGCGUCCCUAUAAUGCUAAUGAGAAACAUUAAUCAGAAAGAGGGAUUAUGCAACGGCACUAGGCUAAUUGUCACACGACUGGGAGAACGAGUCAUUGAAGGAGAAAUACUCACUGGUACACAUGCUGGCAACAAAGUAAUACUACCAAGGAUUAUUUUGUCUCCACCAAUUUCAGACCAUCCAUUCACACUCAGGAGAAGACAAUUUCCGAUCAGAGUAUGCUACGCCAUGACAAUCAACAAAAGUCAAGGACAAAGUUUGAAAUCAGUUCUACUCUAUUUGCCUACACCAGUCUUUAGCCACGGCCAACUCUACGUAGCUCUAUCUAGAGUAACCUCUCCUGAAUGCCUAACCAUUCUACAAGGAGAAGAUGAGACCGAAAAUGCAGUCACAAACAUCGUCUACAAAGAAAUCUUUAAAGAUAUCCAGAAAUAUCAAGGUAAAUAUAUAACAGCCCAAACUUUUUUAUACACAAAAAAAAAAAAAAAAAAAAUUCACGAAGCUAACAAUGU